UCAUAUGAGGUUGUUGCGGACCUUGCUAUUAUUGACUGGUGGUUUCUUCUGUGCGGCCAACGGUCAUUAUGGCAGUCUUUUUCAGUGGCAUCGCUCCUGAUACAAUUUUGGAGAUCGAUUAUGACUCUAUAUUAGUUGCUUGCGCCGGGAAUCCUUAUGUGGGUGGUACUAAUUUACGUGGAUGCCUCGUGGAUAAGCCUCGAUGCCUGAAUCUCAGGCAUGGAGAUUGCCCCAUGGAAUGAGACCCUUCCACCCUCUGCGUCGGGCAAUGUCUCACGAUAUUCUCGUUUCGUGGGGGUGGAAUGAGCGUCUCCAUAUAUUGUUGCAAAUGUGGCUCUUCGAAAGUGGGUCUUGGUGUCAUGGCACCUUGCUCAAGUUGGUUUAUUCAAGUGAUAGUGCCUUUAACCUCUGUGCGACUUUGGUUCUUUCCCCUCCCACCAUAUGAAAUGUAUGGUUGUGGUAGGCUGAGGCCAUGGUUGUGUUGAGGACGUGCUACCUGGUUGAUCCUGCCAGUAGUCAUAUGGCUUGUCU
rnacentral:misc_RNA from 1 species